UUUUUUUGGCAAAAGAUUUACAUAACAAACCCAAGCAACAAAAGCCACUUCCGAAAAUAAUCUAAGGCUUGACUGCCUCUAGGGAAUUUGAUAUGUCAACCAGAAAUGAUAAUGCCAGACGUACAAAUGUAUAUACAGUGCUGCUCAAGUGAAUAGAUUUGAAAUUUCUUAAGGUUUAAAAGGCUUCGUUUUUCUUGAACGAAAACUUCGAUAUGAAUUCAAGAACUAUUGUAUGCAAAAAUGGAUCUUUUGUAUAAAUAAACUAUCAGCUAAAAUUCCAAAUUAUAAGCAGCGACCAAAACUAUGCAACGAGCUAAAUUUUUCAGUCAAGACAGAGAGAGAGAGAGAGUGUGAGACAGAGCAUAGAGAACAGAGAAAGUCAAGAAAAGGAAAAGCGUUCAUUGUAGUCAAGGCGCCAAAGCAAGAUAAAUGGCCCAGAAGCAAACACAUUUGGUGUGAAACUGGGUAACUGGCCAGUCCGCAAGCUCAGCCGUGACGCGUCGGAUGCCAAGUAAAAUCAGAGACCUCAGCCGCUCCAAGCAGAGGGAACAAUGGUUACAUUGAGGCAUGCACGGUGAGAGGAGGGGGCAAACGGCGGCAAACAGCAGAGGCCAGCAGCAGCAGGAGUUGAUGAUGCGACAGUCAAAUGAGGCAGCACAGACUGCCAAGAGUCAGCCGCCAUCUCAUCUUCUGUCUCUCUUUUUUCUUCUCUGUAUUUCUCUCUCUCCUUAAAUAGAUUAAUUUAUGU